AUGUUGGAGAAAGACAGGAUAUCCUAUUUCUACGAUGGGGAUGUUGGCAAUGUGUACUUUGGGCCAAAUCACCCGAUGAAACCGCAUCGCCUUUGCAUGACACACCAUCUCGUGUUAUCAUAUGAUCUUCACAAGAAAAUGGAGAUAUAUAGACCCCACAAAGCAUAUCCAACAGAGCUUGCGCAGUUCCAUUCUGCUGAUUAUGUGGAAUUCUUGCACCGAAUAACUCCUGAUACCCAGCACUUGUAUGCAAGUGAAUUAACUAGAUACAACCUUGGAGAGGACUGCCCGGUCUUUGAUGAUUUGUUUGAGUUCUGCCAAAUCUAUGCUGGAGGAACUCUAGAUGCGGCUCGAAGACUAAAUCAUAAAACAUGUGAUAUUGCUAUUAAUUGGGCUGGUGGGCUGCAUCAUGCAAAGAAGUGUGAGGCGUCAGGCUUCUGCUACAUUAAUGACCUGGUUUUGGGAAUUCUGGAGCUUCUCAAGUAUCAUGCUAGGGUUCUCUAUAUUGACAUUGAUGUCCAUCAUGGAGAUGGAGUUGAAGAAGCCUUCUAUUUCACUGACAGGGUAAUGACUGUAAGUUUCCACAAGUAUGGUGACAUGUUCUUUCCUGGCACAGGUGAUAUUAAGGAUAUAGGAGACAGGGAAGGAAGAUAUUAUGCAAUCAACAUCCCACUUAAAGAUGGCAUAGAUGACAGCAGCUUUACUCGCCUUUUUAAAACGAUUAUUGCCAAAGUUGUUGAGACAUAUCUGCCAGGUGCUAUUGUUCUUCAAUGUGGGGCUGAUUCAUUGGCGCGAGACCGCCUAGGGUGUUUCAAUCUUUCAAUAGAAGGCCAUGCUGAAUGUGUAAAGUUUGUUAAGAAAUUUAAAAUCCCGCUGCUGGUGACAGGAGGUGGUGGGUACACCAAAGAGAAUGUAGCACGCUGUUGGGCUGUUGAAACUGGGGUUCUUCUAGACACAGAACUCCCAAAUGAGAUCCCUGACAAUGAAUACAUUGAAUACUUCGGUCCAGAUUAUACAUUGAAAGUACCAAAUCUGAACAUGGACAACUUGAAUAGUAAGACGUAUCUCAGUUCAAUCAAAGUGCAAGUAAUGGAGAGUUUGCGGGCCAUACAACAUGCACCUGGCGUUCAGAUGCAAGAGGUUCCACCCGAUUUCUAUGUCCCGGAUUUUGAUGAAGACGAGCUGGAUCCUGAUGAACGUGUUGAUCAGCAUACCCAAGACAAGCAGGUUCAUCGUGACGACGAGUACUAUGAAGGCGACAACGACAAUGAUCACGAUGACGGCGGACAUUGA
rnacentral:rRNA from 1 species